CAAAGUGCUUACAGUGCAGGUAGC
rnacentral:piRNA from 5 species